rnacentral:rRNA from 1 species
AACGAACGCUGGCGGCGCGCCUAAUACAUGCAAGUCGAGCGAGAAGACGUAGCAAUACGUUUGUAAAGCGGCGAACGGGUGAGGAAUACAUGGGUAACCUACCCUCGAGUGGGGAAUAACUAGCCGAAAGGUUAGCUAAUACCGCGUACGCUCCUUGGACUUCGGUUCAGGGAGGAAAGCGAUACCGUGGGUAUCGCGCUCUUGGAUGGGCUCAUGUCCUAUCAGCUUGUUGGUGAGGAACGGCUCACCAAGGCUUCGACGGGUAGCUGGUCUGAGAGGACGAUCAGCCACACUGGCACUGCGACACGGGCCAGACUCCUACGGGAGGCAGCAAGUAAGGAAUAUUGCGCAAUGGGCAAAGCCUGGCGCAGCGACGCCGCGUGUGGGAUGAAGGCC